CGGAGCACUACUGCAGGACGGCGUCUUCAGAAACCUGCUGGCCGGAUAGAGAGAACGAGGCGGCCGCUUCUACGGCUACUCGCCUUGCAAAUAUCGCCUCGGCAGGGUAUUGGAUGCGUGGAACUUCACCGUACUGCUACUGAGUGACGUUGCCAGAUGGAGCACAGAGGUCGCUUCCUGUAAUCCCACCCGCGCCUCAACACGCGUCUGCGUGGAUAUGAAGCGCACUCUGGCGGACAUUAGCGAGGUUUCAGUGUCUGCUUGCGAAAGGUUAUCGGCGGGAGAAACCUUCAAAUACGCCUCGAGAGAUGCGCACUAGACGACUACACAGAUCCUCUAUCAAACACGCCUACCACUAGGACGCAGCACAGUAUAGCCACGAGCAAGGAGCAAACGUCGGCGCUGGAAGAGCAGAUAGCUAUAGCGCACGACAUGGUAGCGAAGCUCGCCGAGGCGCUGUCGUCGGUGCUUCUUUCUGCGAUCGGCUUUGUCGCUGGGAGAAAGUGAAAGUAUCGCUCGCAUUAAAGCUUCUGAUGUCGACCUUAUAGCGACUUACCUGCCGGAGCGAUAUAUAGGGUUAGACUGCUAGCAGCGAACCCCACUAUAUAGACACGAAAAACAAAGCACACACACACACACACACGCGCGCGCGCACACGCGCACGCACGCACGCACACACACACACACACACGCAC